UUACAGAAAAUAUUUAGUCAUUCAAUAAUAAAGCUUUUUAAAAAUUAAAAUCUGUGUUUUUCUGUAACAGUUACAUUUUUAAAAGGGCACUUCAAUAAUAAAUCUAACUGCAGUUUAAAGAAGCUUGAGAGAAUUGAAAUGAUUUAGUAAUACUGUAAUUUAUAGCAGCUAGAUUAACAGUUAACAUGUCUUGUGCUGAAGGAGAGAGUAAUGUAAAGUCAUUAAAUCUUCUUUCACAAUGAUAUUCUCUAAAGACUUGAGUUGUAAUGGACAUGUUACUGAAGUCAUUCUUUAUUUAUUUUGAAUUUGUAUGCAGCCUGACCAUGCUAGCACUUACUGCUUGUGACUGUGACGGUGUUGUCGUCUCAGGCUGUUAUAUAAAAUUCAGAGUGCUGCAUCAUACCCCAGCUUUAGUUGUAUGUCCUAAAGCAUUUCAUCUGAUAAACCUUUCCAUUGAACUAUUAUGUACCAAGUUUUGGAUUUAAUUUUUUUUCUGCUUAAAACGUAGUGUUGCAAUUGUUUUUAUGGGCCUGCUUAUUUUCUAGAAAAGGUUGGGGUGGGUUUGUUUGGUUGGUUGGUUUUGGUCCUGGAAGAUGACUUUGCUUUGUGAAAUGUCACAUCAGCUGGUUAAAAAAGUUUAUUAGCCUGCAUCAUUAAUUUUUGCCUUGCCAGUGAGGAGAGAGAGAAGUAAAGUUUAGAAUUGCAUACUUGUAGAUCAUAGAUUUUAUUUUUAUUAUGGCAUUUCAUGAUUAACAGCACUGUCUGAUAAAUUUCAUUUUAUAGUACAGAUUGAAUCUCUCUAGUCCAGGCACACUCUGGUCUGUUAACAUCUGUGGUCCGGUAUGUUUUUAGUUAUCUGGAUGUCCACUUAUUAUGGGUAUGGCCAAAUUUCCUGCCGUCCCGUGAAGUUUGUUUACAGCCACCAAUUGUGGCGCUCCAUAUUCUGUGCUGUUUAGCUCUAAUUUAUCAUUAAAUGCCUUUUAAGAGCCCAGGAAACAGUGGAAGUGUUGGUAAUAUCAUUGAGCAUAAGCAUAACUUUUGUAAUAUAUCUGCUUAUCUCCUUGUGCCAAUACAGUAAAAUUGUGUAACGCUAACACUUCAUUAUGAAGCAAGCUGAUAUGCCUUGGCUAGGCAUAGGUAUAUAGGGUGUAUCAGCAUAAUCAUACAUUAUUAAGCAUAAUUCUGUUUAUUCGCCUCAGCGAACUAGAGAUCAAAAGAGACCCACUUGCUACAAUAUUGACCUCCCAUGGUUCAGCAAAUUCUCUGGUUCAGCUUCUGUCAAGUCCCGAGGGUGCCCGACUAUAGAGGUUCAACCUGUAGUUUUCAUUUUUGCCAUUGUACAUUUUGAAAAAUUCUGCACAAAUCAGAAUGAAAUCUAAUACAUUCACACAGGAGUCACACACAAGAUAUUACUAUUACAUUUGCAUACUUACUAUACAUGCUUACGGUGAAAACAGUACAAGAAAGCACCUUUUAUUGGUCAAUCUCUUGUCUUAGGAGCACUGCAAAGUCUCUGCAUUUUGAAAUGUUCUGUUUUCCCUCUUAUUACAUAAGAGAGGCCAUACUGUGUCAGACCAGCGGUCCAUCUAGCCCAGUGUCCUGUCUGCCGACAGUGGCUAAUACCAGAUGCCGCAGAGGGAGGGAACACAACAGGCCCUGAUCCUGCAAAAGAUUGGUGUGUGUGCUUCACCAUCACGAAUAGCCCCAUUGAGGAACUUGAAGAGGUAUGAACACCUUGGGAAUAGAGCUUAUUUGUAAUUCUGAAAUGUUUGUAACUCAGAACAAAAUGUUACACUGGUUCUCUCAAAAGUUUACAAUUGAACAGUGAGAUGACACAGCUUUGAAACGUUAUAAUGCAGAAGAAAAAGGCUGCUUUUAACUAUCCUAAUUCAAAUGAAACAAGUCCAGAAACACUUUUCUUGCCUUUUUAACUUUCCCUGUAUUUUUGUAACAGUAUGCACUACAGGUUGGACCUCCCUGGCCUGGCACUCUCAGGACCUGACCAGUCCCAGAUGAGGGAUUUUGCUAGACCAGAAAAGGUCGUAUCUGGCUCUCUCCUACCACACUCCCUCCCCUGGUGGCUGGACCAGUUACAGGCUCUGUUGCCCUGCUGGUCUCUGCCUCCCACUUGCCUGCCAUGCUGGGCAGCCUAGCUCGCAGUGCACUACGCUCCUGCCUCACUGGCCAGCCUCACUGUGGCGUGCCAGGCUCCAGCCCCACCAGGCAGCCCUGCGGCAGGGGUGGUGUGCUGGGCAGCCUAGAUGAGCAGCCCUGCUGGGGCAUGCCUGGCUGCCCUGCUGCAGGGAUCUAGGCUCCUGGCCCUACUGGCAGGGGCCCACAACCCUGCCAGUCCGCAGGGCUCCUAGGCACCAGCCCUCCAUCUGGACUCUCUCUGCUCUGGCAGGACCAUGGAUGGUCCAGGACAAGAGUCCCAGUUUACAGAGGUUCAACCUGUACUGUCCUUUAUUUGGAUUUUUACUCUGCUGCUACUUGAUUGCAUACUUCCAGUUCCAAAAGAGGUGUGUGGUUGACUAGUCAGUUAAGUCAGGUGUACUGUACAGGGUUAAGUCAGCCUAAGUUAUGUAAUUCCAGCUAUGUAAAUAAAGUAGCUGGGGUCAACAUAGCUUAGGUCAACUUACUGCAGUGUGUACACUCUGCUGGGUUGAUGGGAGAAACUCUCCGGUUGACUUACCUAUGCUUCUCGUACUGGAAUCAAUUGGAGAGCGAUCUGCGGUCAAUUUAGUGAGUCUCCACUAGACUCGCUAAAUCAACCUCCUGUGGAUCAGUUGCUGCAAUGUUGAUCUCCCUGUAGUGGAGACAUUCCCUUAGUACCCCUAGUGUUCAUAACUCUGAGUUUCUGCUGUACUCAGGGGAGUAAAGUUAAGCACAUGUGUUAGGACUGCAUCCUGCAUAAACUUAAGUGUCUAUAGGCCAAGGCUCCUAUGCCAUUAAAGUUCUUUUGAAAAUUUGACCCUAUAUAACUAAAACCUGAUAGAGUAAGUUGAGAAAUACAUCUGUUAAUGUAAACUAAUUACUUUUGUGUUAUGAAAAGCAAUCAUUUGUAAAAGUUGUAACCUAUACAGUAGUUUGUCAUCAUUUCAUGUGAUUGUGCAUUCCUUCUGUGCGAUUUGUACUUCAUCAGCAAAUGGAUAAAACUAUUGAU